rnacentral:lncRNA from 1 species
CUGGUGUGACCGAGGGUCAGUAAUGGGGACCACGUGGAUGGGCCCCUGACAGACUCGGGCUCUCAUUCAGAGUAAGAGGGAAGCUGGGAGGGUUCCAAGUCAAGGACAGAUGUGAUCUGACUUUUGCUUUAACUUUUGACGAUGAGGUGCUUCCAGAUUCACAUGCAGUACGCAGGAGAGCCUGCGUACCCUUGGCUCAGUUUCCCCAAAGGUAACAUCUUACAAAACCAGAGCCAAGGUCACAGGAAGGAACUAUCAGAACAACCUGCCUCUGUUGGGCACGUGUCCCCAGUGGGACCUGGACUUGCACGGGCGUGUGCAUUCUGUUCUCCUGAGUGUUCUCUCCAGCAUCGGCUCCUACAAACACCCCCACCCAGGGACAGGCAGCAGGCCCACCCUCAGCAUCCCCCGGGACGCUCCCUGACAAGCACACUCCGCUACUCCUGCCCCAGACGCCCAGCCCCGCCAGCCGCUGAUCUGUUCUCCAUUUCUACGUUCUGCCGUUCCAGGCAUGUUAUGCAAAUGCAAUCACAGUCUGUAACCCUUUGGGACUGUUCCCGCUCAGCACGGCUCCCUGGAGGUUCACCAGGUUGGCGGGCAUUUUGGUGGUUUGUUCCUUUUUAUUACGGAAGUCAUCAUCCACGGCGUGGCUGUCCCUCGUCUUGGGGGCCUGUCGCCUGGUUUCAGCAGAGGGAAGCUGGUUCCCUGCAGGUUGAGGGGCUUCUUCUGUCCCAUCCCAGGCUCAUGUCCCACCAUGGCCCUGCCCCUCCUCCUGUCUUCAGAAUCUGCGCCUGGUUUACCUGCCAGCUCCCUGUCUGGGGCCUGCCCCCUCCAUCUGGGAACCAGCACCCUGCUCAUCAGGCAUGAUGCACCCCUACACCACCCCACACAGCCUCUUUAGAUGCCCCAAAUUGGGGAGUCAGGGGGCUUGUCAACCCAAGGCUUCUGGAGCGCUCCUGGUUCAGAUGCAGAUCAGAGAUGUUUAACAACCUGCCAAAAGCCGCACAGCUGGAAGACGGGCCGACG